CCAUGGUGAAACGUUGUUCUGCUUCACUAUAUACAGUAUAUAUAUAUAUGGAUGAAAUGACUUUUAAACCCACUUGACUUGACAUACUUUAGAUGUAAAAACAACUCCAUUCCAUGUGUUAUUACAUGUUAACUGUCAGUCUGUGUGUUACUAUAUCUGGUAAUGCUGAGCCUCUCUGGGCCCCUCCUCUUGUUUCCUGUUUAAAGUUUACUUUCACUUUACACAGUUUGUGUCGCAGCUUUUUCUCUCGGUGUGGAGCUCCAGCUGGAGGUGGAGCUGUGACGCAUCAGGAAACAUCUCACAUGAGUUGUUUCCUGUCGACAUUUUGGACCGUUUGAGGAAACUUUUGUUAAACCUCCUACCUGGAACGAACCCCUGGAAAUAGCUCACCUGCGUCAGAGAUUUCUCUCCAGGUGGAGAGCAACCCUCUUCUUCAUCAACUCUUCUUCAUCAACCCUUUAGACUGUCUGAAGAAACUGACCCAUCAGAGACCAGACCCUGCUGGACCUGAACCUGAACCCAGCUGUGUCAAUGAAGAGACACCGGUCCAUGGAGAUACCACUACUUUGAAAAAAAGACCUUUAAGGGAGAGGCGAAUAGAAAUGGAGGAGAGGCUACUUGAAAAGGAGGAGAGAGGAUUGA